CCUACGGGGUGCAGCAGUGAGGAAUAUUGGUCAAUGGACGAGAGUCUGAACCAGCCAAGUAGCGUGAAGGAUGACUGCCCUAUGGGUUGUAAACUUCUUUUAUAUGGGAAUAAAAUGUUCCACGUGUGGGAUUUUGUAUGUAUCAUAUGAAUAAGGAUCGGCUAACUCCGUGCCAGCAGCCGCGGUAAUACGGAGGAUCCGAGCGUUAUCCGGAUUUAUUGGGUUUAAAGGGAGCGUAGGUGGAUUGUUAAGUCAGUUGUGAAAGUUUGCGGCUCAACCGUAAAAUUGCAGUUGAAACUGGCAGUCUUGAGUACAGUAGAGGUAGGCGGAAUUCGUGGUGUAGCGGUGAAAUGCUUAGAUAUCACGAAGAACUCCGAUUGCGAAGGCAGUUCACUGGACUGCAACUGACACUGAGGCUCGAAAGUGUGGGUAUCAAACAGGAUUAGAUACCCCAGUAGUC
rnacentral:rRNA from 1 species